GCGGAGGGAUCAUUACUGAGUGAGGGCCUUCGGGCUCGACCUCCAACCCUUUGUGAACACAUCUUGUUGCUUCGGGGGCGACCCUGCCGUUUCGACGGCGAGCGCCCCCGGAGGUCUUCAAACACUGCAUCUUUGCGUCGGAGUUUAAGUAAAUUUAAACAAAACUUUCAACAACGGAUCUCUUGGUUCUGGCAUCGAUGAAGAACGCAGCGAAAUGCGAUAAGUAAUGUGAAUUGCAGAAUUCAGUGAAUCAUCGAAUCUUUGAACGCACAUUGCGCCCUUUGGUAUUCCGAAGGGCAUGCCUGUUCGAGCGUCAUUUCACCACUCAAGCCUGGCUUGGUAUUGGGCGCCGCGGCGUUUGUCCGCGCGCCUCAAAGUCUCCGGCUGAGCUGUCCGUCUCCAAGCGUUGUGAUUUCAUUAAUCGCUUCGGAGCGCGGGCGGCCGCGGCCGUUAAAUCUUUCACAAGGUUGACCUCGGAUCAGGUAGGGAUACCCGCUG
rnacentral:rRNA from 1 species